UCUUAAAUCAAAUCAAAUCCUAAUAAUAAAUAAAAAUCUAAAAUCUAAUCUAAUUUUACUUCUAAUCAAAUUUUAAUCAAAUUUUAGUCAAAUCCUAAUUGAAUCCUAAUCAAAUCCUAAAUAAAUCCAAAUCCUAAUCAAAUCCUAAAUAAAUCCAAAUCCUAAUCAAAUCUUAAAUAAACCCAAAAUCCUAAUCCUAACCCUAAACCAAACCCUAAACCGAAUCCUAAUUAAUUCCAAGUAAUUC
rnacentral:lncRNA from 1 species